CUGAGAAUUCCAUUAAGCACCUCAUUCAGGAAGACUACAAGAUUACAAUAGACACAGGAAUCCCAGUGUAUCAUUUAGCUAUUCAUGUGUAACAAAUGAUCCUAAAUUCCAUGGAUUGAAACAAUAAUGACUUCUUAUUUCUUCCCCUUUGCAGGUUAGGAAUUGCACAGCAAGAUGGCUUUCCCAACUCCACCAUGGCUAGAGCCUCCUCUGCAGGGGCUGAAGCCCAUUGACCUUGGCUUCAUUUGGAUACAUUUCAAGGGCAUUGAAGUUUAUCCUGAGGAUCCUAAAUGGUGGAAGAAUACCUCUCAAGAGAUGGAAAGAUUCUAAGAGCCAGAGGGAAUGGAUGACUCCAAGGAACAGGACUGAUGAUCACAUGAACUCUCAGAGGCUAUAACAGCUUCUACCAGGCCUGUAUAGGUUCAAGCCGGAUGGGUUUCCAGCACUGAGAGGAGAAUUGGACAUGGGCUUCUACUCCAUACUAAGAAGCUCUCUGCAACUGAUGUUGACUUGCAAAGGAAAAUAGUUUUCUCCAAUGAAGUAUCACUGGGUAUAUUAGCCAUAUUUCAAGGUAGGCCACCUUCCAGUAGUAAUUGGCCAACAAGUUUAAUAGUAUUUAUUUAUAUAUUGUAUUUUUUGUAGAG
rnacentral:lncRNA from 1 species